GAAUCUAAAUCAGAGAAAGAGACUCCUCAGCCUGCAGGGAGAACUGCCAGCAUGACGCUUGCUACCUUGCUAUGGGCAGUCAUGGUCUCUACCUGUCUUGGAUCCAGCCUGGCCCAGAAGGUCACUCAGCCUCAACAAGAAACGUCUGUGCAGGAGGCAGAGCCUGUGACCCUGGCCUGCACAUAUGAUACAAGUGAAAGUAAUUAUUAUUUGUUCUGGUACAAACAGCCUCCCAGCGGGGAGAUGGUUUUCAUUAUCCGCCAAGAAUCUUUGAAGCAACAGAAUGCAACAGAUAAUCACUUCUCCGUGAACUUCCAGAAAGCAACCAAAAACUUCAGCCUCAGGAUCUCAGACUGCCAGCUGGAGGAUGCUGCAGUGUACUUCUGUGCUCUCAGUGAGGCACAGUGAGAUGAGUGACAGGGAGAGGCUUACAGAAACCUCUGGCCUCAGUGCCUGUGUCAAGGGGUGCUUAAUAGGAACAUAGAAAUUAUUGUCUUUUCUUGGGAAUUAAAAUUCCUUAUAUCUGAAUAUCAGAAACACAGAAAGAUGGAUGUCUGCAAGCUAGAGUCCUUAAAAUUACAAUAAAAAUAAUGGCAUAUGUAGUGCCUUCCAAUUUUACCAAGAGUCCUCAUACAUAUUAUCACAUGUAACCCUCAUAGCUCUGUGUGAUAUAUGUGACAGAUCAGACUUCCUAAGCAUUUCCUUCAUCCAGAAAAAUUUUAUAAUUUGCCUGGGAGUACAUACCU